rnacentral:rRNA from 1 species
GCGGUGGAGCAUUGUUGUUUAAUUCGAAGCAACGCGAACGAACCUUACCAGGUCUUGACAUCCCGAUGCUAUUUCUAGAGAUAGAAGUUACUUCGGUACAUCGGUGACAGGUGGUGCAUGGUUGUCGUCAGCUCGUGUCGUGAGAUGUUGGGUUAAGUCCCGCAACGAGCGCAACCCCUAUUGUUAGUUGCCAUCAUUCAGUUGGGCACUCUAGCGAGACUGCCGGUAAUAAACCGGAGGAAGUGGGGAUGACGUCAAAUCAUCAUGCCCCUUAUGACCUGGGCUACACACGUGCUACAAUGGUUGGUACAACGAGUUGCGAGUCGGUGACGGCGAGCUAAUCUCUUAAAGCCAAUCUCAGUUCGGAUUGUAGGCUGCAACUCGCCUACAUGAAGUCGGAAUCGCUAGUAAUCGCGGAUCAGCACGCCGCGGUGAAUACGUUCCCGGGCCUU